rnacentral:sRNA from 1 species
UGCUUUCCGGAAUUGACGAGGAUGAGAACCUCCGGGGGCAAGAGGUUCGACUCGAGCGCAGCGAGAGAACGUUGCGUCAGCAACGGCCC